rnacentral:rRNA from 1 species
AUGGCUGCCAAGUCUUCACAGACGAUGACAAUCCCCACCGAUGCCGAGCUAAUCCAGGCGCAGGCGGACCUUUGGCGCCACUGCCUCAGCUACCUCACACCAAUGGCGCUCAGAUGCGCCAUCCAGCUCGGCAUCCCUACCACGAUCCACCGCCUCAGCGGUGCCGCGUCGUUGUCUGACCUGGUCACCGCACUGUCCCUCCCGCCAUCAAAGGCGUCGUUCCUCAGAUGCCUCUUGCGGCUGCUGUCCACGACGGGGGUGCUAGCAUCAAACGAGGCUGGGAUCUACCGCCUCGUCCCGCUGUCCUACCUUCUCGUGGAUGGUAUACUCGUUGAUGGAGAUGCUAGCCAGGCAGCUCUUGUGCUCUGCUUGACCUCGUGGUAUCACAUGGAGGCGGCUAUGGGGUUGGCCGACUGA